rnacentral:rRNA from 1 species
AUUGAACGCUGGCGGCAGGCCUAACACAUGCGAGUCGAGCGGAUGAAGGGAGCUUGCUCCUGGAUUCAGCGGCGGACGGGUGAGUAAUGCCUAGGAAUCUGCCUGGUAGUGGGGGAUAACGUCCGGAAACGGGCGCUAAUACCGCAUACGUCCUGAGGGAGAAAGUGGGGGAUCUUCGGACCUCACGCUAUCAGAUGAGCCUAGGUCGGAUUAGCUAGUUGGUGGGGUAAAGGCCUACCAAGGCGACGAUCCGUAACUGGUCUGAGUGGAUGAUCAGUCACACUGGAACUGAGACACGGUCCAGACUCCUACGGGAGGCAGCAGUGGGGAAUAUUGGACAAUGGGCGAAAGCCUGAUCCAGCCAUGCCGCGUGUGUGAAGAAGGUCUUCGGAUUGUAAAGCACUUUAAGUUGGGAGGAAGGGCAGUAAGUUAAUACCUUGCUGUUUUGACGUUACCAACAGAAUAAGCACCGGCUAACUUCGUG